AGAGUUUGAUCCUGGCUCAGAAUGAACGCUGGCGGCGUGUUUAAGACAUGCAAGUCGAACGGAGUAACAUGAGUAGCAAUACAAGUGUUGCUCAGUGGCGCACGGGUGCGUAACACGUGAGUUACAUGCCCUGCAGAGAGGGAUAGCCCAGGGAAACUUGGAUUAAUACCUCAUGGUCUCGCAAGAGUAAAGAUGGCCGUAAGGCUGUCGCUGCAGGAUUGGCUCGCGGCCUAUCAGCUAGUUGGUGAGGUAACGGCUCACCAAGGCUACGACGGGUACCUGGUCUGAGAGGACGAUCAGGCACACUGGAACUGAGACACGGUCCAGACACCUACGGGUGGCAGCAGUCGAGAAUCAUUCACAAUGGGGGCAACCCUGAUGGUGCAACGCCGCGUGGAGGAAGAAGGUCUUCGGAUUGUAAACUCCUGUCAUCUAGGAGCAAGGCAUGGUGGUGAAUAGCCAACAUGAUUGAUAGUACUAGAAGAGGAAGGGACGGCUAACUUCGUGCCAGCAGCCGCGGUAAUACGAAGGUCCCGAGCGUUAUUCGGAAUCACUGGGCGUAAAGGGAGCGUAGGCGGCGUGGAAAGUCAGAUGUGAAAUCCCAGAGCUUAACUCUGGAACUGCAUCCGAUACUACCAUGCUAGAGUAUUGGAGGGGUAACUGGAAUUCUCGGUGUAGCAGUGGAAUGCGUAGAUAUCGAGAGGAACACUCGUGGCGAAAGCGAGUUACUGGACAAUUACUGACGCUGAGGCUCGAAAGCUAGGGGAGCAAAAGGGAUUAGAUACCCCUGUAGUCCUAGC
rnacentral:rRNA from 1 species